rnacentral:misc_RNA from 1 species
AAGAGGAAGAAGAAGAAGGAGAAGGCUAGGGAUUUUGAUCUACAAGCUCUCUUUUGCAUCAUUAAUAUUCCCACCUUCUUCUUCAAUGGCGCAAGUGAAACUGCUCUGUCUAUUUGCUCUGUUUUUAACUAUUACACAGCUCUUCAUAGCAGGUGUAAAUUCAGCUGCAACAUUUACAAUGGUGAAUAAAUGUCAGCAAACAAUUUGGCCUGGAUUAUUAUCUAACGCCGGAAUAGCUCCACUUUCCACCACUGGUUUUGUUCUACAAAAAGAUGAAUCGAAAACAAUCAGUGUGCCCACUUCAUGGGGCGGCAGAUUCUGGGCUCGUACACAUUGUACCGAAGAUUCCACCGGAAAAUUCACCUGCGCCACCGGCGAUUGCGGCUCCGGUAAGCUCGAAUGCGCCGGUGGCAACGCUGCACCGCCGGCAACUCUAGCUGAAUUCACACUCGACGGAUCCAACGGGAUGGAUUUCUUCGACGUCAGUUUAGUCGAUGGGUACAACUUACCAAUGCUUGUGGUACCACAAGGUGGUUCUGGUAACAAUUGUACAAGUACCGGAUGUGUGGUGGAUUUGAACGGCGCGUGUCCGUCGGAGCUGAAAGUAAUGAGCCUGGGAGGCGAAAACGUCGCGUGUAAGAGCGCGUGUGAAGCUUUUCGAAAAGAUGAGUAUUGUUGCGCCGGAGCGUUUAAUAAUCCGACAACUUGUAAACCAUCAUCGUAUUCAACGUUGUUUAAAAAAGCUUGUCCGAGUGCUUACAGCUAUGCUUACGAUGAUAAAACGAGUACCUUCACUUGUGCUGGCGCUAAUAAUUAUCUUAUCACAUUUUGUCCUUCACCUAAUACCAGUCAAAAGUCGUCAUCAUCAUCAAGUGGACAAAAUCAAAAACCAGAAGAUAGUAACAAUCAAAACGACAACGAUAAUAACAACGAGCCAUCAACGAUCAACAACUCUAUGGUAUAUGAUGGUGCAUGGGAUAUCAGUAGUGCAUCUUCAACCACCACGUGCAUGCACGUGUUCAGUUCACCGGCCAUAGCCGGUGCCGUCGCCUUCUUAACAGCCUCUUUCCAGUUGCAUCGUCAGCUCUACUAAUUUUUUAUUUUUGACUUUUUGUUGACACUCGAAAAAAAAAAUUAGGCGAAAAGGCCGGCCUGACCCGGCCCAUGUUAUUUUGUCGGAAUUUGGGGUGUUGUAUCACGUGUGGACCAUUAAAUUGGGCCUUGUGACCCACAUGUGUGGCCCAUGUGACGGGGAAAUGAGUCAGCUUACGUGUCAAUUUAAUUGACGUACACCGAAUUACCUUUUAAUUGGUGAAAAAAGAGGUCUCCAUAGCCACAAAAUUUAGAGUUUUG